GAUGAACGCUGGCGGCGUGCCUAAUACAUGCAAGUCGAGCGAACAGAUGAGGAGCUUGCUCCUCUGACGUUAGCGGCGGACGGGUGAGUAACACGUGGAUAACCUACCUAUAAGACUGGGAUAACUUCGGGAAACCGGAGCUAAUACCGGAUAAUAUAUUGAACCGCAUGGUUCAAUAGUGAAAGACGGUUUUGCUGUCACUUAUAGAUGGAUCCGCUCCGCAUUAGCUAGUUGGUAAGGUAACGGCUUACCAAGGCAACGAUGCGUAGCCGACCUGAGAGGGUGAUCGGCCACACUGGAACUGAGACACGGUCCAGACUCCUACGGGAGGCAGCAGUAGGGAAUCUUCCGCAAUGGGCGAAAGCCUGACGGAGCAACGCCGCGUGAGUGAUGAAGGUCUUCGGAUCGUAAAACUCUGUUAUUAGGGAAGAACAAAUGUGUAAGUAACUAUGCACGUCUUGACGGUACCUAAUCAGAAAGCCACGGCUAACUACGUG
rnacentral:rRNA from 1 species